CCUACGGGCGGCAGCAGUGGGGAAUAUUGCACAAUGGGGGAAACCCUGAUGCAGCGACGCCGCGUGAGUGAUGAAGGAUUUCGGGAUGUAAAGCUCUAUCAGCAGGGAAGAAAAGGACGGUACCUGACUAAGAAGCCCCGGCGAACUACGGGCCAGCAGCCGCGGUAAUACGUAGGGGGCAAGCGUGAUCCGGAGUGACUGGGGGUAAAGGGAGCGUAGACGGUCCGGCAAGCCAGAUGUGAAAGCCCGGGGCUCCACCCCGGGACUGCAUUUGGAACGGUAAGGCUAGAGUGUCGGAGCGGCAGGCGGAAUUCCUAGUGUAGCGGUUAAAUGCGUAGAUAUUAGGAGG
rnacentral:rRNA from 1 species